AUUGAACGCUGGCGGCAGGCCUAACACAUGCAAGUCGAACGGUAACAGGAAGCAGCUUGCUGCUUUGCUGACGAGUGGCGGACGGGUGAGUAAUGUCUGGGAAACUGCCUGAUGGAGGGGGAUAACUACUGGAAACGGUAGCUAAUACCGCAUAACGUCGCAAGACCAAAGAGGGGGACCUUCGGGCCUCUUGCCAUCGGAUGUGCCCAGAUGGGAUUAGCUAGUAGGUGGGGUAACGGCUCACCUAGGCGACGAUCCCUAGCUGGUCUGAGAGGAUGACCAGCCACACUGGAACUGAGACACGGUCCAGACUCCUACGGGAGGCAGCAGUGGGGAAUAUUGCACAAUGGGCGCAAGCCUGAUGCAGCCAUGCCGCGUGUAUGAAGAAGGCCUUCGGGUUGUAAAGUACUUUCAGCGGGGAGGAAGGGAGUAAAGUUAAUACCUUUGCUCAUUGACGUUACCCGCAGAAGAAGCACCGGCUAACUCCGUGCCAGCAGCCGCGGUAAUACGGAGGGUGCAAGCGUUAAUCGGAAUUACUGGGCGUAAAGCGCACGCAGGCGGUUUGUUAAGUCAGAUGUGAAAUCCCCGGGCUCAACCUGGGAACUGCAUCUGAUACUGGCAAGCUUGAGUCUCGUAGAGGGGGGUAGAAUUCCAGGUGUAGCGGUGAAAUGCGUAGAGAUCUGGAGGAAUACCGGUGGCGAAGGCGGCCCCCUGGACGAAGACUGACGCUCAGGUGCGAAAGCGUGGGGAGCAAACAGGAUUAGAUACCCUGGUAGUCCACGCCGUAAACGAUGUCGACUUGGAGGUUGUGCCCUUGAGGCGUGGCUUCCGGAGCUAACGCGUUAAGUCGACUGCCUGGGGAGUACGGCCGCAAGGUUAAAACUCAAAUGAAUUGACGGGGGCCCGCACAAGCGGUGGAGCAUGUGGUUUAAUUCGAUGCAACGCGAAGAACCUUACCUGGUCUUGACAUCCACGGAAGUUUUCAGAGAUGAGAAUGUGCCUUCGGGAACCGUGAGACAGGUGCCGCAUGGCUGUCGUCAGCUCGUGUUGUGAAAUGUUGGGUUAAGUCCCGCAACGAGCGCAACCCUUAUCCUUUGUUGCCAGCGGUCCGGCCGGGAACUCAAAGGAGACUGCCAGUGAUAAACUGGAGGAAGGUGGGGAUGACGUCAAGUCAUCAUGGCCCUUACGACCAGGGCUACACACGUGCUACAAUGGCGCAUACAAAGAGAAGCGACCUCGCGAGAGCAAGCGGACCUCAUAAAGUGCGUCGUAGUCCGGAUUGGAGUCUGCAACUCGACUCCAUGAAGUCGGAAUCGCUAGUAAUCGUGGAUCAGACUGCCACGGUGAAUACGUUCCCGGGCCUUGUACACACCGCCCGUCACACCAUGGGAGUGGGUUGCAAAAGAAGUAGGUAGCUUAACCUUCGGGAGGGCGCUUACCACUUUGUGAUUCAUGACUGGGGUGAAGUCGUAACAAGGUA
rnacentral:rRNA from 1 species